AUGCAGAGACCAGCUUUUAGCCACCACUCACCUCAGUCCAGAUCAACUACUCUUCCGCACUCAUCUGUCUAGCACCCAAGUCAUCCAACUAUCUAGUAUCCCUUUUCUUUCCUCCACCAGAAAUAGUCUCCUUACUUGCUAGGCAGGUAGCACUGAACCCAGAUCAGGCAUUACCCUUUCAAAUACAAAGGCAAUGAAGCAACAUUAUCAAGUGGCCUUGAGAGUUCCCCCAACCCCUCCAGUAUGACCAUCUCUCUUCUUCUUUUAAUUUGUUCAUCAAAUCUUCUUCUACUAUCUAUUUCCAGGGUGAUUUCCUCUACUGAAGAGUCUGGAGGAACUCUUGGUGCCACCUGAUACUAAGGCAUAAUACAAGUCUACAACACAGGGACCUAGUCAGAAACAGUGCUUAUAAGUGUAUUGACAUUGUGAAAAUCCAAAAGGUAAAUAAAUGUGGCUGCAAUAAAAUGACUGGUGCGUUGAAGUAAGAAGAGUAUUGGAUCGAAUGGUUCAAAAUCAA